rnacentral:rRNA from 1 species
CCUACGGGAUGCAGCAGUGAGGAAUAUUGGUCAAUGGACGAGAGUCUGAACCAGCCAAGUAGCGUGAAGGAUGACUGCCCUAUGGGUUGUAAACUUCUUUUAUAUGGGAAUAAAAUGUUCCACGUGUGGGAUUUUGUAUGUACCAUAUGAAUAAGGAUCGGCUAACUCCGUGCCAGCAGCCGCGGUAAUACGGAGGAUCCGAGCGUUAUCCGGAUUUAUUGGGUUUAAAGGGAGCGUAGGUGGAUUGUUAAGUCAGUUGUGAAAGUUUGCGGCUCAACCGUAAAAUUGCAGUUGAAACUGGCAGUCUGGAGUACAGUAGAGGUGGGCGGAAUUCGUGGUGUAGCGGUGAAAUGCUUAGAUAUCACGAAGAACUCCGAUUGCGAAGGCAGCUCACUGGACUGCAACUGACACUGAGGCUCGAAAGUGUGGGUAUCAAACAGGAUUAGAUACCCGAGUAGUC